UACGUAGGGCGCAAGCGUUAUCCGGAAUAUUGGGCGUAAAGAGCUCGUAGGUGGUUUGUUACGUCUGCUGUGAAAACCUAGGGCUUAACCCUGGGCUUGCAGUGGAUACGGGCAGACGUAGAGGUAGGUAGGGGAGAAUGGAAUUCCUGGUGUAGCGGUGAAAUGCGCAGAUAUCAGGAGGAACACCGGUGGCGAAGGCGGUUCUCUGGGCCUUACCUGACACUGAGGAGCGAAAGCGUGGGGAGCGAACAGG
rnacentral:rRNA from 1 species